rnacentral:lncRNA from 1 species
AACAAUGAGAUGUGGCCAUUGUUUGAUGGAUCAUUGAUGGUACGGAUGUGCAAUGAAACAAUGAUAUACCCACUGUAUUGGACCCAAACACCUUCCUGAAAAUUGUUCUGAAGGGUGAGACACUAAACCACCACACAAUUUCAGAACUAUAUCUUUAUAUUAUAUCUCUUAUUUUUCCCUUAUUUGAAUUUUAUAAUCCUUACUUUUCAAUACAUAUCUAAAUAGACUUGAUGUUUUUGACUAAUGGGUUGCAGGGUUAGCACAAGGAAACUAUUGUUAUGACUUGCGAGGUCUACUGGAGGUGACCGGAUCCGGAUGACUUGAGAAAAGCUGUGAAAAUUCACGUAUACCGUUUACCAAACUCAAUUUGUUUGGUCUAGAUGCAUGACUUUCAGAAUAAAUUUAGAUUGUAUGUUUACUCAUUGUUGUGAUCUUUGUAUAUCUGUAACUACACCCUACAACCUGAGCCACUUGACGACCUGCAAUUAGAUGUUACAAAAUAUAGAUGCAAUAUGUUAAUUCUAAGGUGGCAUAAAAUUCCUAAUAAUUCAUACCUGAAAUAAAAUUGUGAUCUAUUCACUAUCUUACUAUCAUAUCCGCAUCGAGCACAACCGAACGCCUCUAUUUCCGGUGAGGCCAACUAUCCAGAAUCCUCCCGCCAUCUUAAAUCCAUUAAUGUUUUUCUGUUAAAGGCUUUGCUCUAUGUAGAUACUGAAAUUAGCAAAGCCAAACUUUUAUUUUGGAAAUAUCACUUUUUUGUGAGAACUGGAAAUAUCACUUUAGAGUACUUUGGUCUGUAAGUGUGUUGCGCUGCUGUAUUUUAAAGACGCGGUUUGUAUUGGAAAAGAUUACAUUAAAGAUGGUGUCGAUCCUGACGACGGGCUGCCUUGCAGGGCAAGGGAUGGGGGUACAAGGCAUGGGUCUGCGG